CCCAGACUCCUACGGGAGGCAGCAGUGGGGAAUAUUGGGCAAUGGGCGCAAGCCUGACCCAGCAACGCCGCGUGAAGGAAGAAGGCUUUCGGGUUGUAAACUUCUUUUAAGAGGGAAGAGCAGAAGACGGUACCUCUUGAAUAAGCCACGGCUAACUACGUGCCAGCAGCCGCGGUAAUACGUAGGUGGCAAGCGUUGUCCGGAAUUACUGGGUGUAAAGGGAGCGUAGGCGGGGAUGCAAGUUGGGUGUCAAAACUACCGGCUCAACUGGUAGUCGCACUCAAAACUGCAGCUCUUGAGUGAAGUAGAGGCAGGCGGAAUUCCUAGUGUAGCGGUGAAAUGCGUAGAUAUUAGGAGGAACACCAGUGGCGAAGGCGGCCUGCUGGACGACAACUGACGGUGAGGCGCGAAAGCGUGGGGAGCAAACAGGAUUAGAUACCCGUGUAC
rnacentral:rRNA from 1 species